UUGGAGGGCAAGUCUGGUGCCAGCAGCCGCGGUAAUUCCAGCUCCAAUAGCGUAUAUUAAAGUUGUUGCAGUUAAAAAGCUCGUAGUUGAAUUUCGGGAUCAGAGUGUCGGUCGUGCCUCGGUACGCACUGGUAUUAUUGGUUCCUACCUUCUGAAGAACCGCGAUGUCAUUAAUUUGGAGUCGUGGGGAAUCAGGACUGUUACUUUGAAAAAAUUAGAGCGUUUAAAGCAGGCUUACGCUUGAAUACAUUAGCAUGGAAUAAUGAAAUAGGACGUUUGAUUCUAUUUUGUUGGUUUCUAGGAUUGACGUAAUGAUUAAUAGGGAUAGUUGGGGGCAUUAGAAUUCAAUUGUCAGAGGUGAAAUUCUUGGAUUUAUUGAAGACUAACUACUGCGAAAGCAUUUGCCAAGGAUGUCUUCAUUAAUCAAGAACGAAAGUUAGGGGAUCGAAGACGAUCAGAUACCGUCGUAGUCUUAACCAUAAACUAUGCCGACUAGGGAUCGGAUGAUGUUAAUUUUUUAAUGUCUCAUUCGGCGCCUUACGGGAAACCAAAGUGUUUGGGUUC
rnacentral:rRNA from 1 species